rnacentral:rRNA from 1 species
AGUGAACGCCGGCGGUAGGCCUAGCACAUGCAAGUCGAACGGCAGCACAGUAAGAGCUUGCUCUUACGGGUGGCGAGUGGCGGACGGGUGAGGAAUACAUCGGAAUCUACUUUUUCGUGGGGGAUAACGUAGGGAAACUUACGCUAAUACCGCAUACGACCUACGGGUGAAAGCAGGGGAUCUUCGGACCUUGCGCGAUUGAAUGAGCCGAUGUCGGAUUAGCUAGUUGGCGGGGUAAAGGCCCACCAAGGCGACGAUCCGUAGCUGGUCUGAGAGGAUGAUCAGCCACACUGGAACUGAGACACGGUCCAGACUCCUACGGGAGGCAGCAGUGGGGAAUAUUGGACAAUGGGCGCAAGCCUGAUCCAGCCAUACCGCGUGGGUGAAGAAGGCCUUCGGGUUGUAAAGCCCUUUUGUUGGGAAAGAAAAGCAGCAGGUUAAUACCCCGCUGUUCUGACGGUACCCAAAGAAUAAGCACCGGCUAACUUCGUG